UACGUAGGAUCCAAGCGUUAUCCGGGAUUACUGGGCGUAAAGCGUACGUAGGUGGAGACUUACGUGAGAUGCGAAAUCUAGCGGCUCAACCGUUUAGACUGUGUCUCAUACUGGGUUUCUUGAGGUUGGCAGAGGCAAGUGGAAUUUCCGGUGUAGCAGUGAAAUGCGUAGAUAUCGGAAGGAACACCAAGGGCGAAGGCAGCUUGCUGGGCCACACCUGACACUGAGGUACGAAAGCGUGGGGAGCGCACGGG
rnacentral:rRNA from 1 species